UUGAAGAGUUUGAUCAUGGCUCAGAUUGAACGCUGGCGGCAGGCCUAACACAUGCAAGUCGAGCGGUAGCACAGAGAGCUUGCUCUCGGGUGACGAGCGGCGGACGGGUGAGUAAUGUCUGGGAAACUGCCUGAUGGAGGGGGAUAACUACUGGAAACGGUAGCUAAUACCGCAUAAUGUCGCAAGACCAAAGUGGGGGACCUUCGGGCCUCAUGCCAUCAGAUGUGCCCAGAUGGGAUUAGCUAGUAGGUGGGGUAACGGCUCACCUAGGCGACGAUCCCUAGCUGGUCUGAGAGGAUGACCAGCCACACUGGAACUGAGACACGGUCCAGACUCCUACGGGAGGCAGCAGUGGGGAAUAUUGCACAAUGGGCGCAAGCCUGAUGCAGCCAUGCCGCGUGUGUGAAGAAGGCCUUCGGGUUGUAAAGCACUUUCAGCGGGGAGGAAGGCGAUAAGGUUAAUAACCUUGUCGAUUGACGUUACCCGCAGAAGAAGCACCGGCUAACUCCGUGCCAGCAGCCGCGGUAAUACGGAGGGUGCAAGCGUUAAUCGGAAUUACUGGGCGUAAAGCGCACGCAGGCGGUCUGUCAAGUCGGAUGUGAAAUCCCCGGGCUCAACCUGGGAACUGCAUUCGAAACUGGCAGGCUAGAGUCUUGUAGAGGGGGUAGAAUUCCAGGUGUAGCGGUGAAAUGCGUAGAGAUCUGGAGGAAUACCGGUGGCGAAGGCGGCCCCCUGGACAAAGACUGACGCUCAGGUGCGAAAGCGUGGGGAGCAAACAGGAUUAGAUACCCUGGUAGUCCACGCCGUAAACGAUGUCGAUUUGGAGGUUGUGCCCUUGAGGCGUGGCUUCCGGAGCUAACGCGUUAAAUCGACCGCCUGGGGAGUACGGCCGCAAGGUUAAAACUCAAAUGAAUUGACGGGGGCCCGCACAAGCGGUGGAGCAUGUGGUUUAAUUCGAUGCAACGCGAAGAACCUUACCUGGUCUUGACAUCCACAGAACUUAGCAGAGAUGCUUUGGUGCCUUCGGGAACUGUGAGACAGGUGCUGCAUGGCUGUCGUCAGCUCGUGUUGUGAAAUGUUGGGUUAAGUCCCGCAACGAGCGCAACCCUUAUCCUUUGUUGCCAGCGGUCCGGCCGGGAACUCAAAGGAGACUGCCAGUGAUAAACUGGAGGAAGGUGGGGAUGACGUCAAGUCAUCAUGGCCCUUACGACCAGGGCUACACACGUGCUACAAUGGCAUAUACAAAGAGAAGCGACCUCGCGAGAGCAAGCGGACCUCAUAAAGUAUGUCGUAGUCCGGAUUGGAGUCUGCAACUCGACUCCAUGAAGUCGGAAUCGCUAGUAAUCGUAGAUCAGAAUGCUACGGUGAAUACGUUCCCGGGCCUUGUACACACCGCCCGUCACACCAUGGGAGUGGGUUGCAAAAGAAGUAGGUAGCUUAACCUUCGGGAGGGCGCUUACCACUUUGUGAUUCAUGACUGGGGUGAAGUCGUAACAAGGUAACCGUAGGGGAACCUGCGGUUGGAUCACCUCCUU
rnacentral:rRNA from 1 species